rnacentral:rRNA from 1 species
UACGGGAGGCAGCAGUGGGGAAUAUUGCACAAUGGGCGAAAGCCUGAUGCAGCUAUGCCGCGUGUAUGAAGAAGGCCUUAGGGUUGUAAAGUACUUUCAUCGGGGAGGAAAAACAAAACUAAUAAUUUUAUUUCUUGACGUUACCCGAAAAAGAAGCACCGGCUAACUCCGUGCCAGCAGCCGCGGUAAUACGGAGGGUGCUAGCGUUAAUCAGAAUUACUGGGCGUAAAGAGCACGUAGGUGGUUUUUUUAAGUCAGAUGUGAAAUCCCUGGGCUUAACCUAGGAACUGCAUUUUGAAACUGAAAUACUAGAGUAUCGUAGAGGGAGGUAGAAUUCUAGGUGUAGCGGUGAAAUGCGUAGAUAUCUGGAGGAAUACCUGUGGCGAAAGCGGCCUCCUAAACGAAUACUGACACUGAGGUGCGAAAGCGUGGGGAGCGAAACAGGGAUUAGGAUACC